rnacentral:rRNA from 1 species
GGGGUGGAAAAAUUCCAAAAGGGAAAUUUGGCGGGGGGGCCCCCCCCCACAACCGGGGGGGAGGUUUUUGGGGUUUAAAUUUGGAGGCCAACCGCGGGAAAAACCCCUUUCCCAGGGGUUUUGACCAUUCCUUGGAAACCUUUUUAGAAAAAUUUGGGAGGGGGCCCUUUGGGGAAAUGCAAGGACCAGGGUGGGUGCCAGGGCCGUUCGUUCAGCUUCGGGUUUGUGAGAGAGUUGGGGUUAAGUUCCCGCAACGAGCGCCAACCCCACGUUUUUAGUUUGCCAGCAAUUAGGUGGGCACUCUAGAAAGGCCCGCCCGGUGAUAAACCCGAGGAAGGGUGUGGAUGACGUCAAGUCAUCAUGCCCCUUACACCCUGGGCUACACACGUACUACAAUGCUACGGACAAAGGGCAGCAAACUCGCGAGAGCUAGCAAAUCCCAUAAACCGUGGCUCAGUUCAGAUCGUAGGCUGCAACUCGCCUACGUGAAGUAGGAAUCUCUAGUAAUCGCAGGUCAGCAUACUGCGGUGAAUACGUUCCCGGGCCUUGUACACACCGCCCGUCACACCAUGGAAGUUGGCCAUGCCCGAAGUCGUUACUCCAACCCUUGUGGAGGAGGACGCCGAAGGUGGGGCUAAUGACUGGGGUGAAGUCGUAACAAGGUAA